AUGAGGGCCCCCACUCAGCUCCUGGGGUUGCUGCUGCUCUGGCUUAGAGGUGCCAAAUGUGACAUCCAGAUGACUCAGUCGCCAUACUUACCGUCAGCAUUUCUGGAAGACAGUGUCACAAUCACAUGCCAGUCAAGUCAGAACAUUUACAGCAAUUUAGCAUGGUAUCAGCAAAAACCAGGGGAACCUCCUAAGCAACUGAUCUAUUAUACAAAGAACUUGGCAGAUGGGACCCUCUCAAGGUUCAGUGGCAGUGGAUCUGGAACACAGUAUUCUCUCAAGAUCAGCAGCCUGCAGCCUGAAGACAUGGCAAGUUAUUACUGUCUACAGCACAAUAACUAUCCUCCCACAGUGAUUCAAGUCAUGAC